GGGGAAUAUUGCGCAAUGGGCGAAAGCCUGACGCAGCCAUACCGCGUGUGUGAAGAAGGCCUUCGGGUUGUAAAGCACUUUCAGUGGGGAGGAAAAGCUGGUGGCUAAUAUCCAUCGGCCGUGACGCUACCCACAGAAGAAGCACCGGCUAAUUCCGUGCCAGCAGCCGCGGUAAUACGGAAGGUGCGAGCGUUAAUCGGAAUUACUGGGCGUAAAGCGCACGUAGGUGGCUUGGUAAGUCGGAUGUGAAAGCCCCGGGCUCAACCUGGGAACUGCAUUCGAUACUGCUGAGCUAGAGUACGAAAGAGGGGGGUGGAACUCCAGGUGUAGCGGUGAAAUGCGUAGAGACCUGGAGGAACACCAGUGGCGAAGGCGGCCCCCUGGUUCGAUACUGACGCUGAGGGGCGAAAGCGUGGGGAGCAAAC
rnacentral:rRNA from 1 species